CUCGAUCACUGCAUGUUGGCUGGGAGAAAAGCUCUUUCAGGAAUCAGAUGCGACUGGGAAGAGGAGGAUAAAGAGGAUCGCAGAACGACCAUCUUCUUCCUCGGAUCCUGAUUUUCCAUGAUUCUGAGACGCCGUGGUGAGCUUGUCAAGUGGACUCUUCCCUCACCUGGCCUGCGUGUGCGUCUGCUUCACUGUGAGCCGGAGGAG